rnacentral:rRNA from 1 species
CCUGGCUCACGUAUGAACGCUAGCUACAGGCUUAACACAUGCAAGUCGAGGGGCAGCAUGGUCUUAGCUUGCUAAGGCCGAUGGCGACCGGCGCACGGGUGAGUAACACGUAUCCAACCUGCCGUCUACUCUUGGACAGCCUUCUGAAAGGAAGAUUAAUACAAGAUGGCAUCAUGAGUCCGCAUGUUCACAUGAUUAAAGGUAUUCCGGUAGACGAUGGGGAUGCGUUCCAUUAGAUAGUAGGCGGGGUAACGGCCCACCUAGUCUUCGAUGGAUAGGGGUUCUGAGAGGAAGGUCCCCCACAUUGGAACUGAGACACGGUCCAAACUCCUACGGGAGGCAGCAGUGAGGAAUAUUGGUCAAUGGGCGAGAGCCUGAACCAGCCAAGUAGCGUGAAGGAUGACUGCCCUAUGGGUUGUAAACUUCUUUUAUAAAGGAAUAAAGUCGGGUAUGGAUACCCGUUUGCAUGUACUUUAUGAAUAAGGAUCGGCUAACUCCGUGCCAGCAGCCGCGGUAAUACGGAGGAUCCGAGCGUUAUCCGGAUUUAUUGGGUUUAAAGGGAGCGUAGAUGGAUGUUUAAGUCAGUUGUGAAAGUUUGCGGCUCAACCGUAAAAUUGCAGUUGAUACUGGAUAUCUUGAGUGCAGUUGAGGCAGGCGGAAUUCGUGGUGUAGCGGUGAAAUGCUUAGAUAUCACGAAGAACUCCGAUUGCGAAGGCAGCCUGCUAAGCUGCAACUGACAUUGAGGCUCGAAAGUGUGGGUAUCAAACAGGAUUAGAUACCCUGGUAGUCCACACGGUAAACGAUGAAUACUCGCUGUUUGCGAUAUACGGCAAGCGGCCAAGCGAAAGCGUUAAGUAUUCCACCUGGGGAGUACGCCGGCAACGGUGAAACUCAAAGGAAUUGACGGGGGCCCGCACAAGCGGAGGAACAUGUGGUUUAAUUCGAUGAUACGCGAGGAACCUUACCCGGGCUUAAAUUGCAGAUGAAUUACGGUGAAAGCCGUAAGCCGCAAGGCAUCUGUGAAGGUGCUGCAUGGUUGUCGUCAGCUCGUGCCGUGAGGUGUCGGCUUAAGUGUCAUAACGAGCGCAACCCUUGUUGUCAGUUACUAACAGGUUCCGCUGAGGACUCUGACAAGACUGCCAUCGUAAGAUGUGAGGAAGGUGGGGAUGACGUCAAAUCAGCACGGCCCUUACGUCCGGGGCUACACACGUGUUACAAUGGGGGGUACAGAGGGCCGCUACCACGCGAGUGGAUGCCAAUCCCCAAAACCUCUCUCAGUUCGGACUGGAGUCUGCAACCCGACUCCACGAAGCUGGAUUCGCUAGUAAUCGCGCAUCAGCCACGGCGCGGUGAAUACGUUCCCGGGCCUUGUACACACCGCCCG